UAAACAAAAGGUUUGGUCCUAGUCUUAUUGUUAAUUUUAAUUAGACCUACACAUGCAAGUUUCAGCUAUCCUGUGAGAAUGCCCUCAAAAUUAUUUAAUCAAAAGAUAAGAGGAGCUGGUAUCCGGUACACUAAUAGUAGCCAAUUACACCUUGUUUAACCACACCCCCAAGGGAAACAGCAGUGAUUAAAAUUAAGCUAUAAACGAAAGUUUGACUAAAUCAUAAUUAUUUUCAAGGGUUGUUAAUUUCAUGCCAGCCACCGUGGUCAUAUGAUUAACCCAAAUUAACAAAUCUUCCCCGUAAAACGUGUUUAAGCAAAAAUAUUAAAAUAAAAUUAAUACUUAACUAAACUGUAAUAUGUUCUAGUUAAUACUAAAAUAAAUUAUUAAAAUAACUUUAACAAAGCUGACACACGACAACUAAGAUACAAACUGGGAUUAGAUACCCCACUAUGUUGUAAACUAAACUAGUUAGUUUAAACUUACGACUAAACUAAAAUAGUUAAAUAACAAAACUAUUCGCCAGAGAACUAUUAGCUAUUGCUUAAAACUCAAAGGACUUGGAGGUGCCCUAAACCCACCUAGAGGAGCCUGUUCUAUAAUCGAUAAACUCCGAUAUACCCAAACCUGUCUUGCCAAUACAGCCUAUAUACCGCCAUCAUCAGCCCACCUUAAAAAAAACAAAAAGUAAGCAAAACUACUUUCCAUAAAAACGUUGGUCAAGGUGUAGCACAUGAAAGGGAAAGAAAUGGGCUACAUUCUCUAAUUUAGAGAAUAACGAAUCACAUUAUGAAAUUAAAGUGCUCGAAGGAGGAUUUAGUAGUAAAUUAAGACUAGAGUGCUUAAUUGAAUUAGGCAAUAGGGCCCGCACACACUGCCCAUCACCCUCCUCAACUCAAUUUAUUAAUAUACCUAAUAAUUCAUUUAAACAAAGAGGAGAAAAGUCGUAACAUGGUAAGUGUACUGGAAAGUACACUUGGAAUAUCAAAAUG
rnacentral:ncRNA from 1 species